GACGUAGGGGGCGAGCGUUGUCCGGAUUCAUUGGGCGUAAAGAGCGCGUAGGCGGCUUGUCGCGUCGGCUGUGAAAACUCGGGGCUCAACCCCGAGCCUGCAGUCGAUACGGGCAGGCUAGAGUCCGGCAGGGGAGACUGGAAUUCCUGGUGUAGCGGUGAAAUGCGCAGAUAUCAGGAGGAACACCGGUGGCGAAGGCGGGUCUCUGGGACGGUACUGACGCUGAGACGCGAAAGCGUGGGGAGCGAACAGG
rnacentral:rRNA from 1 species